AGUCGCCAUUUUGUCGGGUAGUCAUCGGGAUCGCCGUGUGUCUCUCUCAUCCCGGGUUAUUUCGUCCGUAUUUCGUCCGGACGGGGAUUGGAACGCCGUUGGACUCGGGUACGCGCUGCCCUGCUCGCACGUUACACCGCAAAUGGCUUGUCUGAACACUCUCAAGCAGGAAAUCAAAACGCUCGAAUCCGUCUUCCCCAAGAGCCAUGAGAGGUUUCAGAUAAUGUCUGCGAGCGUGGACGAGCUCAGCUGCAGAUUCGUCGGUAAAAAUGGGAAGAAGUACGAAAUACACGCCAAUAUCACAGAAACUUAUCCUUCUACACCGCCAGUUUGGUUUGCCGAAUCGGAGGAGACUAGUGUUACGAACGCUGUACAAAUUUUAAGUAACACAACGGGACGUGACAACCACGUGAUCAACCAAGUUGGAAUCCUCCUGAAAGAACUGUGCAGACUACACUCGUUACCAGAACCGCCAGACGUGGAGAGACUCAGAACCGCUUUGGACCCUUUACGUCUAGGAGUCUCAAAUGAAGCCGUGGCACAAAGGAUGGACGCGGAGGACAUAGACGAUAUCGAUGAGGAUGAAGAGAGCGAGACUGAGGAGGACCUCCAUCUAGACAUGGACGAAGGAGACGCUAACUCUAAGAAUAAGGGCGAAGAAAUGGAUUUGGAACAUCUUGCGACACUGGAAAGGUUGAGACAGAAUCAGAGACAAGACUAUUUAAAAGGAUCUGUUUGCGGAAGUGUGCAAGCCACCGAUAGACUCAUGAAAGAACUACGUGAUAUAUACCGAAGUGACAGCUUUAAAAAAGGAAUGUAUAGCAUAGAACUAGUAAAUGACAGUUUGUACGAAUGGAAUAUCAGGUUGAUGUGCGUAGAUCCUGAUUCACCACUUCAUAGCGAUCUCAUUCUUCUGAAAGAGAAAGAAGGCAAAGACAGUAUUCUCCUCAACAUGCUUUUUAAGGAAACUUACCCGUUCGAACCUCCGUUUGUGAGAGUCGUACAUCCCAUUAUUUCCGGUGGUUAUGUCCUUGUGGGAGGUGCGAUUUGCAUGGAACUCCUCACGAAACAGGGAUGGAGUUCGGCGUAUACAGUGGAAGCUGUUAUAAUGCAGAUAUCGGCAACUUUGGUGAAGGGAAAAGCACGUAUACAGUUUCAAGGAUCAGGUGGUGCCGGUAAAGUGUGUGGUGGACAAGGCCAGUACAGUUUGGCACGUGCCCAACAGUCAUUCAAGUCCCUUGUACAAAUACAUGAAAAGAAUGGUUGGUUUACACCCCCCAAGGAGGAUGGCUAAUGAACAGCAUUCACCAAGUAUCGAAAAUACGACACGUGCUUACAGCUGAGACUUUAAUUCGGGAGAGCACCCGGUUCACGCGGAACACGAAUAAGUGACCGAAACCCGAUAGAUAGAGCAAUGAUAUAAGCAUAGACGGAAAUCGUUACACCUGGUACCUGGUCAUCGAAACGAUAUUCCAAUCAAGAUAAAACGACAACUAAACGAAUCCCCGUUUCGCUUGAACCGUGGUAUUUUAAUCGUAUCGGUUUGAUACUCGGGACAUAACUUGGCUUUGUGUAUCGUGUUAAGUAAUAUGAUAUGACUUAACUCUCAUAUUAUAACAAUUUCUGACGAGGGUAUAGACUUCCGGAUCGAAGCAGCGUGCAUACAUCGUACACGUCGGGAGUGGAGUGCGAUCAAAAUUCAUUUUCUCGCGUCUUUUUCGUUGCAGCUUGUCGCGCGUAUUCAUCCCCUCGCCCCCCUUCCCGCGAACAUUUUUAUCAAGUAUUCGUGAUUCCUCCGCGACGUGGGCGAUGUUCUACGAGUCUAAACCCAUAAGUUAAACUUACGUCUCUACUCUGUCUGCGUACCUACUUGCGUAAUUAACUCAUCAGUCAAACUGUGCGAUCGAUUAAUCCUUUUGUUAAUCGGUCGCGUCGUCUCAUUCAUGUCAAUCUAUAAUCUUAAGAUUAGUCUCUACUAUCCUAAAUCUGCUCCACUUGUAUAUCGUACCAUUACCGAUUUGAGUGAAAGUUUCCAUAAUUCUAAUAUAUCGAGCAUUAUACUUUCUCUCUUUCUUUCUCUCACACCACAAUUUCACGUUAAGUUACGUUAAUUAUUGUUUAAGAGAAACGCUACGAAACACAGAAAAUAAAGAUUUUAAUAAAAAACU
rnacentral:misc_RNA from 1 species